GGUUGAGAGAUUUGUGAGCCACGUGGAGAAGACCUGAAGCUGUGAACUGGAUACCAUGGCAGCUGAUGUCAGGACAGGCCGUCGAUAGAUGACCAAACCCUGCAUCCAAAGUGAGCUUUCCUGUCGGUGUUUUGACUUCUCGUGUGAACAAUGACUGAGGUGGUUCAUUCCUGCAGAGAAGCCCCUUCCUUCUCACCACGCACCAUCUGGGAGGCUGGACUGCAAAGGUGAAAUGGACAAUCAGCCCACUGGAAAAGUGACUGCUGGGCUGUAGGAAAGGGCAGGGCUCAUGGCCUUGCUGUCCAAACACCACUCACAAGUCCAGCAAAGGAAGGGUUGAAUGAAUUUUCAAAGCACUUUGAACUUUCAGGGGAGAAUAAAAUAGAAUGGAAAAGAGUAGAAUAAAAUAACCCAGACCAACCCACUCAAGUCCAAGGUAACCCCAAAGAAAGACUUACUAAUUGUGAUCUCAGCAAUCACUGAGAUACUAGGUGAGCCUCUUCCAUCAUUGCUAGUGUCUCACUGGAGUACUACAUCUUAGC
rnacentral:lncRNA from 1 species